rnacentral:rRNA from 1 species
GUGUUGUUUGUUAAGGGCACACGGUGGAUGCCUUGGCAUUAUGAGCCGAUGAAGGACGUGUAAGGCCGCGAUAGGCCUCGGGGAGUUGCCAAUAGAGCGUUGAUCCGAGGGUGUCCGAAUGGGGAAACCUGGCCAUGGUUAUGUGUGGUUACCCAUCAGUGAAUUCAUAGCUGGUGUGGGGGUGACGCGGGGAAGUGAAACAUCUCAGUACCCGUAGGAGAAGAAAAUAAUUAAUGAUUCUGCUAGUAGUGGCGAACGAACGUGGAUGAGGCUAAACCGUAUGCGUGUGAUACCUGGCAGGGGUUGCGUGUGUGGUGUUGUGGGGCGUUGUUGGAGGAGGCUGCCGGCUCCUCGCUUGUGAUGUGUGUGUUAGCGGAAGUGGUUUGGAAUGGCCUGCCGUAGUGGGUGAGAGUCCCGUACGUGAAAACAUGUGCAUGCGAGUGGAUGAUGUUCCCGAGUAGCAGCGGGCUCGUGGAAUCUGCUGUGAAUCUGCCGGGACCACCCGGUAAGCCUAAAUACUUAUGAUGACCGAUAGCGGAUAGUACCGUGAGGGAAUGGUGAAAAGUACCCCGGGAGGGGAGUGAAAUAGUACCUGAAACCGUGUGCUUACAAUCCGUCAGAGCCUCUUUUUGUUAGGUGAUGGCGUGCCUUUUGAAGAAUGAGCCUGCGAGUCAGCGGCAUGUCGCGAGGUUAACCCGUGUGGGGUAGUCGUAGCGAAAGCGAAUCCUAAUGAGGGUGUUUUUUUAGUGGCAUGUCCUGGACCCGAAGCGGGGUGAUCUACCCAUGGCCAGUGUGAAGCAGCUGUAAGAGGUUGUGGAGGCGCGAACCCACUUAGGUUGAAAACUGAGGGGAUGAGCUGUGGGUAGGGGUGAAAGGCCAAUCAAACUCCGUGAUAGCUGGUUCUCCCCGAAAUGCAUUUAGGUGCAGCGUUGUGUGUUUCUUGCUGGAGGUAGAGCUACUGGUUGGUUGAGCGGGACUACAAUCUUAGCAAUGUCAGCCAAACUCCGAAUGCCGGUAAUGUUAAGCAUGGCAGUGAGACUGCGGGGGAUAAGCUCCGUUGGUCGAGAGGGAAACAGCCCAGAUCGCCGGUUAAGGCCCCUAAGGGUGUACUAAGUGGAAAAGGAUGUGGGAUCGCGAAGACAGCCAGGAGGUUGGCUUAGAAGCAGCCAUCCUUGAAAGAGUGCGUAAUAGCUCACUGGUCGAGUGGUUCUGCGCCGACAAUGUAGUGGGGCUCAAGUACACCGCCGAAGCCGCGGCAGUCAACAAUUUUUUUGUUGGUUGGGUAGGGGAGCGUCGUGCACUGCUGUGAAGCACCUGGGUGACUUGAUGGUGUGGAGUGUGUGCGAGUGAGAAUGCAGGCAUGAGUAACGAAUGAAAAGUGGAAAACUUUUCCGCCGGAUGACUAAGGGUUCCUGGGUUAAGCUAAUCUUCCCAGGGUGAGUCGGGACCUAAGGCGAGGCCGACAGGCGUAGUCGAUGGAUAACCAGUUGAUAUUCUGGUACCCGUGUAUGUGCGCCCAGUGGUGAAUCAGUGGUACUAACCAUCCAU